rnacentral:rRNA from 1 species
UACGGGGGGGGCAAGCGUUGUUCGGAAUUACUAGGCGUAAAGGGCUCGUAGGCGGCCAACUAAGUCGGAUGUGAAAUCCCCAGGCUCAACUUGGGAACUGCAUCCGAUCCUGGAUGGCUUGAAUUCGGGAGAGGGAUGCAGAAUUCCAGGUGUAGCGGUGAAAUGCGUAGAUAUCAAGAGGAACACCUGAGGUGAAGACGGGUUGCUGGGCUGACACUGACGCUGAGGCGCGAAAGCCAGGGGAGCAAACGGG